AGCAGCCGCGGUAAUUCCAGCUCCAAUAGCGUAUAUUAAAGUUGUUGCAGUUAAAAAGCUCGUAGUUGAAUUUCGGGAUUGACUCGAUGGUCGUGCCUUAAGGGGUAUGAACUGUCGCUGUUGAUUUCUCACCUUCUGGAGAAGCUCGAUGUCCUUAAUUGGAUGUCUUGUGGAACCAGGACCUUUACCUUGAAAAAAUUAGAGUGUUUAAAGCAGGCAUUUUGCUCGAAUACACUAGCAUGGAAUAAUAGAAUAGGACGGCAUGGUUCUAUUUUGUUGGUUUCUAGGAUCACCGUAAUGAUUAAUAGGGAUAGUUGGGGGCAUUAGUAUUCAAUUGUCAGAGGUGAAAUUCUUGGAUUUAUUGAAGACUAACUACUGCGAAAGCAUUUGCCAAGGAUGUUUUCAUUAAUCAAGAACGAAAGUUAGGGGACCGAAGACGAUCAGAUACCG
rnacentral:rRNA from 1 species